CAGACAGCCCAAGUUUGCCCAUUUCACCUUCUAUUCUCAUUUGGCUCCGCUCCACGGUGCAGCGAUGAAUCAUACUGCAGUGGGAGACAAGAAAAAGAGGCAGAGCAGUAGCAGCUCAGUAUUAUCUCAGACCACAGUUCACUCACUCCCUGGAGCACGACAUCCUUUGCGUCAUCUUCUUCUUCCUCGACCUCUUCGACCUCGUCCGAUGCUCUGUCGUCUGCAAAUCCUGGAAUAAGAUUAUGAAUAAGUCUAAGUUGCUGCAACUGGUUUACUACAAGCAGCAGCAGUGGGUCUAGUGGGUUUUUCCAAUAUGUCUAGUAAUUUGGAGGAAUCGCUGAAGUUAUAUUUGAAAUUCAUAACUGGCUUUGCAAGAUGGUGUUCUUUAUAUUGAUUAUUGAUCAAGGGAGAGACCAUUCUGCUUGGGUGUAUUAGUACCAAAUGAAGAUGGGCUUACUGCUUGGCUGUGUAGGCGAGAAGGUGUUUUCCCGUUGUUUGUUGUUUCAUCUUUGUCUGGCUUCCUUCCAUCUUUCACUCAUCUUUCAACCAGAACGCAGGUGAAAAUUGUUUCUAGCAUUGUCUUGGAAGGCAACAGAACAAGUUUUCAGCAGAUCAAAGUUUUCUGGUUGAUAGGUCUUGUGGGUGCUUCCAAUAGGUCUUGUAAUUCAGAGGAACAGUUGAAGUUAUAUUUGGAGGAUGUUGCCAUGGAACAUCAUAGAUUGGCUUUGCAAGAGGGUGUUAUUCAUAUUGAUCAAUGGAGGGGCCAUUCUGCUGGGAAUGCGAUACCGGAUAGGUCUAAAGUUGCUGCAAGUGUUCUUUGGUUUUCUACAGUCCAUAACACAGCUCAAGUCUUGCCUGUUUCUCCUUCCAAUACAACAUCCUCUGCACCAUCUUUUUCCUUCAUCAACCUUAUCCUGUAUGAUUUGUCAUCUGGAAAUCUGCUACAAGCAGUGGCAAACGGGUCUCAUGUGUGUUUCCAAUACAACAGUUCUACUAAUUUGGGGGAAUCGUUGAAGUUAUAUUUGGACUUUGGAGAAGCUUUCAGUGGAACUUCAUGGAUUAGCUUUGCAAGAGGGUGUUAUUGAUAUUUGUUAAUGGACAGGCUGUUCUGCUGGGUGAUAAGUUAUUUUCCCACAUACGCAAUCUGCAAGUCAUGUGGAGUAACUCCUAAUCUGCUCAAUACUGAUUUUCCCUCUUGUAACAAAUCUUCCGGUUUAGAAAAUACGCGUAGAAGAUUUGUAUUCAAAUCCAGAGAGCUCUUCUAUUUGCCUUUGAUUUUGAUUAGACUAUUUCCGGAUGACAAUCAACCCAUUCAUUGGCGGAAUAUAUGCUGUUCAAGGAGUUUUUGAACCAAAAUACAGGUGAAGUUGUUUCCAGCAUUGUUUUGGAAUGCAAAAGAUCAAGUUCUGAAAGCACAAAUGGUGACAUUGGAUGAUCCAAAGGAAGAAGGCUUUCAGAAGAUACCUGAAUUGAUAGCAAUUCCAGAAGUGCUCGAACAUUUUUCACUCUCUUUCUUGGCUGUUUGGAUGAAGAAAGUAGGUACAUCAGAGUGUGGACAUUCAACAAGUAAUUCAGAUCACGCUGUUAAAUACUAGGAAAUUGAUGUUCAAUGUGGCCUUAACAAUUGUAUGGUUGUUAUUGUUUUCGUUCAUAUAAACUGUUAAUAUAUCUUAUGCUUAUUGAUUUUGAAGACCA